GGAGAAGUACUCAAGUGGCUGAAGAGGCUCGCCUGGAAAGCGGGUAGGUCGGGCAACCGGCGCGAGGGUUCAAAUCCCUCCUUCUCCGCCA
rnacentral:tRNA from 1 species